UUUUCAGUACCCUGAACCAUCUGAGCUCACCCAAUAAUGGUGAUCACUUCAGCUGAGCAGUUACUAGGCAGCCUCCACCAAGAUGAAUUUGGCCCCUCGCAGAGACGCUCUGGCUCCAGCCAUUCAAGCAGUUUCCUAUCCCUUGACUUCAAAACCAGCAAGAACCAGCAAGAACCAGCAGCUGUGCCACCACUGACCUGCUCCAGCCCUGGGACAGAGCACACACAGCCCCCCAGGACCGGUGGGUGAAUCCCUCAAGCCAGGGGAGCUUGAAAUCACCUCCUCAUUCACAGCCACUGUGGCUGCUCUGUCCCUUAGGAGUGGAGAAAGAUGUGCUGCUGAGAUGGAAGAGGAUCCUUGGAGGAUGCUGAGGUCAGGUUUGCACUCUGUGUGUGGAGAGGGCAGCUCACCACCUUCCUCUCUUUUGCUGGCAGCUUUGAAGAAGGAGACCCCACAUCGAGCUGCUGCUGAGCACCCUGAGCUCUCUUAUCCAUGCUGAAAUCUCUCUCUCCACUUGUGAACCUUUCCAGGAACUUUUCUUGCAGCAGUUCCUCCAGUGGCCACCCUGGGGAAGGCAGAGGGGCUGGUGUGGCCUGGACAAAGGGGCUGCUUUCCUGCAGGACCACGUUACCCCCCUGCAUGCCUCCCCCCAAUUAGCCUGGACCUUAAUUGGGGCUGACACGCGCCCGUUGAAAGAGAUUCCCCAGGAAUUAAAGCGCUGCUCCUCUGGUUUGGGUUGGCUGCUGAUGUGAAACAUGACAUGAUCUUGGAGGAUUUUCUGAGCUUACCAUGAAGCAAGGCUGCCCCCGGUAUCAAGCGGGCUUUGUGCUGGGGCUGUAAUCAUAUUACAAAUUGAACGCUUCCACAUGUGCGCGCUGGCACAUCCACCCUCGCCUAUCUCGCAUGUAUCUGCCCCAAGGUACAGAUGCUGAGGGCUUGACACAGCAUAAUAUGGAUCUCAAUAUAUUUUCCAGAUUGCCUUAGCACAUGCUAAUGAAAAUGAGGAGUAAAAGGCCCGUGAGAAGCAGCUGUUUAAAAUUUUCUUCAAUCCCCAAAAAUCAACUUCUUAAUUACUGAUAAUUUAAGCAUCAAAAUCACCACUAACCCUCUUCUCCCACUAGGCCCUCCCAAGCUGGGAGGCCUGCUCGAAGACUCUUGGGCAAAACUUUUUCUUAGAAGUGUAGCUUUUCAUCAAAUUUCUUCAGCUUUUCUGGAAUUAAUUAGUAUUAAAAUAAAGCAGGGAAAGGGCGAGUAACUGCUGGAGGUGCCUUCCCUCAGACCUCCUGCUUAGACUGCUAAGGCUCAUUGUACCACAACACUUCCAUAUUUCUACGGCACCUUUCAUAACAAAGGAUUCCCCAAACUUCUCCAAAUGGAUUUAUAGAUAUAAAUAGCUUCAAUUGCCUUUAAAAUGUGCACUUUCUUGGAUCAAAGAAAGCAGGCUUUGCUUCUAUCGUGCAAAAGGAUCUGUGUUCAGUCUGGUUUGGGUUCAUACCUAGUGGGGCAACCAGUCCCAAGCAAAGUUUAGGCAGUGGUUUUGGGAUAAGGGCUGGCAACAUAUUCCAUGAGUUCCUGGAUCACUGUGUGGCAGUGGGGCCUCUUUCCAGGGAUUAUCUAAAUGUUAGUCUUGUUAAAAUCUAAAUUCUGGGAUAAUUUUGUUGAGAAUUGUUUUCCUCUAGCAGCAAAUAAGUCUGAACCAGAGGAAAAAAAUAAUGGAAAAGAAGGUGUACACAGUACUUAUUUUUUACUUUUUAUUUGAUGUUCACCAUCUUCCCAGCCUUCCCUAAAUGACUCUGAACUUGAGUUGAGCCUUUCCUAAAGCUGGCACCAUUUUCUGUAGAGAAACAGAAGCUGAAUUAAUCUGGCUCUUGCCAGCCCCAUGCUAGGUGUGCUCACACAGAGCCAGUCAAUGGAUGGGAGCAAGGCUGGUUUUGGCCAGGCUGCAGAAAACAUUUUCCUGCUAACUGGAGUCCUGGCAAGGAGCAUGGGGUUUGACAUGGAAAAAGGGGGUUUGUGUUUGCUGCUGGAUACCUUUUUUUUGUUUAAAUCAUUACUGGAAGCAUCUUUAAAACUGACUUUUCCACAACACUCUACGAGAGAGCAACAAAACCACAACUAAAUAUAGCUGGAAGGCAGAGAGCAGAGUGGAGCCAUCCAGGAGCUCACAGUGAGUCUCUACAUGGGAGAGACCUGACAGAAACUUUUAAAGCUCAAAACAUGCACGGAGCAACGGGCCAAACUGAAUAGCUGAGCAAAAGCAGCCCUGCAAAUGCUUUUAUAAUAACUUCCCCUGCCAUUACUCCACAAAUGUACCCAUUGGAAACAGCAGCUGACAUGAGAAUGGUGACUGAGACCCACUGGGCUAUUGAGGAGCUGGGCCAGGGUGAAAUAUUGAUUAAUCAUCUUGUCAGGCUGGGGCUUUGCUCAGUUCUGUAGAUGGGAAUUGAGAGGGUAAUGUGCAGCUCCUCCAUGUAGGAAGGCUGCUGCAUCACAUGGGAAUGAUUUGUUGACUUACGGAAAAGUGCUACAGUGGGGCGAACAGUAGGAUGAUGCUGAAAUGAGACAAAGGGAUUUUUGAAAAGUAUUGACUUUCUUUUUUUUCCUCAGAAAAAAUUAAAUCACUGUAGUAGAAAGCCAGAAACAUCAAUCCUCACUCAGCAUCUGUUUGCACCUGGACAAUUGCACCUGUGUGGUCCAUUGGGGAGGGUGUGACACAAAGACAAAAACUAUCCAGUUUUCUUUGUUUAUUGGGGGAUGAGAUGAGUAAUCAAAUCUGGGUUUGCUUUUCAGCUAUUCCUCUGGGUGAACAACUCUAGUACUGAGACAAGGCAGUGAAAAUCAAGGUCAUGGUAAGGGAUCUACAUGGAGUUGAAGGACCCAUUGAUAUUACAGAAAUACACUUUGUCCCCUCUGCCCAUCAAACCCCAUGGGCAGUGCUGCACUGUGACAAGAAAAUACCAAGUUCCAGACAACCAAUGGGAAAAUGAGCCCAGGGAUUGGUGGCAUUUGCUCCCUAAUGGUCACCAGAGCUGGUUAUGGGCAGGUUGAGCUAACCCUGAGCUCAGCUCAAGGAGUACUUUACCUGGCAGGUCUAUGAUAGGUGUGCUGCUUAACCCAGAACAUUAAACCCAGGGGACACGGUCCCACCCUUUCUCCACCUCCCAAACCCUCUUUCAUCUAGGGCAGGUGAGGGCAGAGCUGAUAACAACUGUCAUUGCAUCAAAUUAAAGGGGAAAACGAUCUGGAAAGCUGUUUGCAGAUAAAACUUGACUUGAUUAAUCUAUUUGUUCUUUGUGUUUGGCAGAAACCUAAAACCAAGUUUCACAGUGGCUUUAACUGCCCUAAAAAUAAUGGCCUAUUUAUGCAAUUAUCUGCAUGUACGUGGCCAUUACCUCAGGCCACUGCAGUACAAGAAUAUGCACACGGGAUUUUUUUUUUUCAUCUAUUUACUUUUUUUCCAGGUGGGGUUUAGGCUUCCUGCAUGAAAACCAUUCCAGUGUAGGUUCUCAGCUUGCCACCAACUUGUGCAGAAGGCUCUCAAGCUGAAGGAGCAAACCAAACAAGCCCACACCUGGGCUGAAGACAAGAAUGACACAUACAGGUCACCGGACUUUAAAUGAGUGACCCUGCAGAUUUAUAAGGCAUUCUGCUCAGCAGUCUUUUAAAUAGUCAUAUAC